UACGUAGGGUGCGAGCGUUGUCCGGAAUUAUUGGGCGUAAAGAGCUCGUAGGCGGUGUGUCACGUCGGCCGUGAAAACCUGCAGCUUAACUGUGGGCGUGCGGUCGAUACGGGCAUCACUGGAGUUCGGCAGGGGAGACUGGAAUUCCUGGUGUAGCGGUGAAAUGCGCAGAUAUCAGGAGGAACACCGGUGGCGAAGGCGGGUCUCUGGGCCGAUACUGACGCUGGAGGAGCGAAAGCGUGGGGAGUAAACAGG
rnacentral:rRNA from 1 species